CCAAUAGCGUAUAUUAAAGUUGUUGCAGUUAAAAAGCUCGUAGUUGAAUUUCGGGAUCAAUAUAUCGGUCGUGCCAUCGGUACGUACUGGUAUCAUUGGUUUCUCCUUUCUGACGAACCAUGAUGUCAUUAAUUUGGUGUUAUGGGAAGUUAGGACUGUUACUUUGAAAAAAUUAGAGUGUUUAAAGCAGGCUCGCGCUUGAAUACAUUAGCAUGGAAUAAUGAAAUAGGACGUUUGAUUCUAUUUUGUUGGUUUCUAGGAUCGACGUAAUGAUUAAUAGGGAUAGUUGGGGGCAUUAGUAUUCAAUUGUCAGAGGUGAAAUUCUUGGAUUUAUUGAAGACUAACUACUGCGAAAGCAUUUGCCAAGGAUGUUUUCAUUAAUCAAGAACGAAAGUUAGGGGAUCGAAGACGAUCAGAUACCGUCGUAGUCUUAACCAUAAACUAUGCCGACUAGGGAUCGGAUGAUGUUAAUUUUUUAAUGACUCAUUCGGCGCCUUACG
rnacentral:rRNA from 1 species